AUCCGGCGAGGGAGAGAAU
rnacentral:snRNA from 1 species